rnacentral:rRNA from 1 species
CCCAAACCAAUAAAGUUUUCUUUAUUGGGGUUGCGGACAUAUCAUAACGAAGAGGUAUCGUAAUUGAAGAGGUUUGGAAAGACCCACCACAGAAGGUAAUAGUCCUGUAUGUUAAACGAGAAGACUUCAGAUAUGAUCCAGAGUACCACGGGACACGUGAAACCCUGUGGGAAGCAGGAGGGACCACCCUCCAAGGCUAAAUACUACCUAGUGACCGAUAGCGUAGAGUACCGUGAGGGAAAGGUGAAAAGAACC